GGCCGGGCAGAGAGCCGGUGUGGAGAAGCCCGAUGAAGCUGAGACAGGGGAAGCCAAAGAGAAGGGAAGGUGCCCGUUCUCAUUCAAGUCCUCAGGAUUUCUGCCUUAACUUCUGGAAGAGUCUCUGACCUAAUUGCCCUGCCUCGUCUGCACAGAAGCCUGAAUGACCUUGCAAAUGUCUUGGGAUGCUUGUGCAACAUCUGGAAUUGCAGCAGCUAUGUUAACACCAUGAAGCACGUAAACAAAAACCAUUAACACUGAGGAUGGCAAAGAAGGAUGGAAAACCAUGGAAGGAUAACUAGAUAACCAAAUGACUACAAAAUCUGAGACCACUUAACUCAAGAUUUCUUCUUAAGUAAAU